UGGGGAAUAUUGGACAAUGGGCGCAAGCCUGAUCCAGCCAUGCCGCGUGAGUGAUGAAGGCCUUAGGGUUGUAAAGCUCUUUCAGUGGGGACGAUAAUGACGGUACCCACAGAAGAAGCCCCGGCUAACUUCGUGC
rnacentral:rRNA from 1 species